AUUGAACGCUGGCGGCAGGCCUAACACAUGCAAGUCGAGCGGAUGGGCGGCCGGGUGCGUAAUGGUUAGGAAUCUGCAUGGUAGCGGGGGAUAACGUUCGGAAAUGGGCGCGAAUACCGCACACUAUCAGAUGAGGCUAUGUCGGAUUAGCUAGUUGGUGGGGUAAAGGCCUACCAAGGCGACGAUCCGUAACUGGUCUGAGAGGAUGAUCAGUCACACUGGGACUGAGACACGGUCCAGACUCCUACGGUAGGCAGCAGUGGGGAAUAUUGGACAAUGGGCGAAAGCCUGAUCCAGCCAUGCCGCGUGUGUGAAGAAGGUCUUCGGGUUGUAAAGCACUUUAAGUUGGGAGGCGUUACCCACAGAAUAAGCACCGGCUAACUUCGUGCCAGCAGCCGCGGUAAUUC
rnacentral:rRNA from 1 species